AACAACAACAACAACAAUCACUCUCAAAAUCACCACAUCCCCACCAACCCCAAUGCUGCCACUAACGGUAAUAACGGUUCUCAUCUCCUGCUUUACAAGUGGACCCCAUUAACUCAAAGCAACAAGGACAACGCCAAUAACUCUAAUGGCAAUAACGCCAAUGGCGACAAGAAUUCCCUUAAGGAAGACGUUACGUCGCUGCCGGAGGAGCCUCCUAAGCGCAAAUUCAAAUAUGUUCCGGUUUAUUUGCUAGAGGAACAGAGAGAAGAGGCUGCAGAGAAGGUUGAAGACGAAGCUAAACUGAGUGGUACUGAACCAAUUGCAGUGGAGCCAAUUCCAAAGGGUGAUAGUUUUGAUGAGAAACCUAACAUUAAUGACGUACCUAUGGAAGAAACUCAGGAUGAUAGUCAAGUGAUGCGACAAGAUCUGAAUGAAAGCACUUUGGAUUUGAGCCUGGGGUUAAAGUCGCAUGAUGACAACUCGGAUUCAAAACCAGAUCAGUUGAGAGAUGGGCAGUUGGAAA
rnacentral:misc_RNA from 1 species